rnacentral:tRNA from 1 species
GCCAAGGUAGCUCAGUCGGUAGAGCACGUGACUGAAAAUCACGGUGUCGCCGGUUCGAUCCCGGCCCUUGGCACCA